rnacentral:rRNA from 1 species
UACGGGGGGGGCAAGCGUUGUUCGGAAUUACUGGGCGUAAAGGGCGCGUAGGCGGUUCGCUAAGUUGAAUGUGAAAACUCUGGGCUUAACCCAGAGCCUGCAUUCAAUACUGGCGGGCUAGAGUCCUGGAGGGGAUAGCGGAAUUCCUGGUGUAGCGGUGAAAUGCGUAGAUAUCAGGAGGAACACCGGUAGCGAAGGCGGCUAUCUGGACAGAGUCUGACGCUGAGGCGCGAAAGCUAGGGGAGCAAACAGG